rnacentral:rRNA from 1 species
AACGUAGGAGGCGAGCGUUAUCCGGAUUUACUGGGUGUAAAGCGCGUGCAGGCGGUUGGCUAAGUUGGAUGUGAAAGCUCCUGGCUCAACUGGGAGAGGUCGUUCAAUACUGGCCGACUUGAGAGCAGUAGGGGAAGGUGGAAUUCCGGGAGUAGUGGUGAAAUGCGUAGAUAUCCGGAGGAACACCAGUGGCGAAAGCGGCCUUCUGGACUGCAUCUGACGCUCAGACGCGAAAGCUAGGGUAGCAAACGGG